UUACAGAUGGGCCCGCGGUGCAUUAGCUAGUUGGUGAGGUAACGGCUCACCAAGGCAACGAUGCAUAGCCGACCUGAGAGGGUGAUCGGCCACACUGGGACUGAGACACGGCCCAGACUCCUACGGGAGGCAGCAGUAGGGAAUCUUCCGCAAUGGACGAAAGUCUGACGGAGCAACGCCGCGUGAGUGAUGAAGGCUUUCGGGUCGUAAAACUCUG
rnacentral:rRNA from 1 species